rnacentral:SRP_RNA from 1 species
GCCGGGUGCAGUGGCACGUGCCUGUAGUCCCAGCUACUCGGGAGGCUGGAGUGGGAGGAUUGCUCGAGCCCAGGAGGUCUGGGCUAUAGUGCACUAUUCCAGUUGGGUGUCCACACUAAGUUUGGCAUCAAUAUGGUGACCUCCCGGGAGCGGGGGACCACCAGGUUGCCUAAGGAGGGGUGAACCAGCCCAGGUCGGAAAUGGAGCAGGUCAAAACUCCCGUGCUGAUCAGUAGUGGGAUCGCGCUUGUGAAUAGCCACUGUACUGCCUGGGCAACAUAGCGAGACCCCGUCUCUU